AUGGUUCAAGUUGAAGUUACGAGAAGCAAGGAGCAGAAGACAGGUCUAUGGACACGAGAGUGGGAUCUUCGUGUAAUGAGCAAAAGGAUGGCCAGGGAAACCACUGAUUUCUCUGAAGCUUCUUUCGCCUUAUCUCCACAACACCGAAAAGCCACAGCGCGACAGCAAUACACAUGCCAGGUAGCUGCCGUCGACCGGCCAGCAAAGAACAUGGCCGCAUCCACAUCACACAUCAAAGCAGGAGACGAGACGACCAUAAUAUCAGCGCUCGCCCCAAGUGGACAAGAGCAGGGAUCCGCACGCAGCCAUCACGUCCCCGGAGAAUGCACACGAUAUUUCCGAGCCACCAUUCAUCCAUGGGCAGAUCGGCCGUAG
rnacentral:rRNA from 1 species